AUUUGAUACAAGAAAAUAUGUUGGUCGUUAGUUGUGAAAGCGACGAACUGAUAAUUUUGGAUACUUUAGGGGAAAUCCAAUUUUCAGUAAAAAUCGAUUUCAUUCCUUAUUACUUCUGUACAGACCGUAAACAUCGUGUAUUUUACACUGACAACGUUAACAACAGCGUGGCAUGUAUAGAUACGUCAGAAAACAUAAUGUUUACAAUUGUUCACCCAUUCAUGAAAGGAC
rnacentral:lncRNA from 1 species